GCCACCAACAUUCCCAUAUUCUUUUCCACAAGAGAGCCAAAACAGCCCCAAUGCUUCGUACAGUGGACAUAGCGAAGUUGAAAAGGAUGAUUCAUUGGAGCUGCAUCCCAGUAGGGUAUAUUGAAGGACCAUCUCAUAUGCCUAGCGUAACAGCAGCAUCAAGCUUCAGAGCACCUGAACUGUCUCACAUGCUCUACCAGGAACAUUCUGGUUUGUACUGAUAUGCGAUUUGUUGCAAUAGGAAAGACUGCUCUGGUCUAUUUCUUUGCACGCACUCUGUUUUCUCUUUCACUCUAUUACGAGCAUGUGAUAUUUCUGAUUUCUGACAUCGUUGCAUAUUCACCUGUACAUUUAGUUAUUUCUAUACUUGAAUUGCAGCGAGCAGUAUUUGCCCCACCUCUGCUUCUGCCCCUUCCUAGGCUGUCCAAACCAGAAGUGUACCUGAACUGCCCCACACACUGUACCAGGAACAUUCCGCCAGCGGUAUUCGCCACAUAUUCGUUGCUGCCCUUCCCUCAGCUGUCCAUACCAGAAGUGCCCCUGAACUGCCCCACAUGCCGCUCCAGGCUGCUUGGUAGGAAAUGCCAGCGAUCCUGGUGAGAAUACCCUAAAGGAAGUGGAGAGUGCAGCCAUGUCGUGGCUACGCCACGCACCUCAAGCAGAUGAGAGGCAGCAGCAAAAGCUGGUGUGUGAAGACUGUGACAGACUGUGCACUGUGUGGCUUAUUGGAGUACAAACUUUACCUCAUUGUUUUUUGUGCAGUAUGUUAUAUGCUGCUGAUGUGCUGCUUUGUUGCAGCUCCUACCUGUCUUUCACUGUCAGACAUAACUAUUUGCAUGUUUUCGAAUUUUUAGUCACCUUUCAGUCUUAUAUGUUUCUGAUCUGCUCAGCGCAGUGCAGUGUAGGGGUGCCUACAUAACUAUUUGCGUUUCUUCGCACCACACUACAGUGCCUUUUUUAGUCAGUUUUCACUAGUCUUGUUCGUUGCUGAUCUGCUCAGCGCAGUGCAGUGUAGAGGUGCCUACAUAACUAUUUCUGUGUUUUUGCAGCCCCGUACAGUGCCUUGUUUAGUCGUUUUCCACUAGUCUUAUUUGUUGCUGAUGUGCUCAGCACAGUGCAGUGCAGUGUAGGGGUCCCUACAUAACUAUUUGCGUGUUUUCGCAGUACAGUACUUUGCCUUACUACAGAAGAACAAAACACUACGCGCAGUUAUUACUACUACAUCCCAUUUGAAAUUUUGUGUCACCUUUUCCUUGCUGCAAUUAAGUUGCAUUAUCAGCGUUCGACGCUGUGGUGUGAUGCAGAAAGGAUUUUGUAAAUGUUGCAUAUUAUAAUGCCUAUACUUGCUCCUAAUGUGCCUAAACUUCUCCUAUCUCACCAUUUCAUCCUAUUUGCCUCUUUGAAUUCCUUUAGAAGCAGCAGCUGUAACCCCUCAUUUUUAGUGGGAUUUGUGUUUUUUAAGGAAAGAGCUAUAACCCUGUACAAGUGUUUGCUCGAACUGUGAUAUUUUAUUAGCCUCAAACUAUUGAUGAUCAACAUACUGGUUGGUAACACGUGCUAAUCAAAAGGAACAAUAAAAUGUUGUCAUGUUUA